UUAUCGAUCCAUCUCAACCUCCAUCCGACCAAAGCCAACAAGAACCAAGUUUGACCAACGAGGCUUCUUCUGUUUCCGACAAGAAAGAUCAAGCUUUACCUGAAGAGAAACCGAAACAGAAUCAAGAAAACGAGAGAGCGGUCACUGGGAGAGAGAAGCUAAAGCAUCAUCGGAGAGAGAUGGCAGGAAGAGUUUGGAUACCGGAGAUAUGGGGACAAGAAGAGCUUCUUAAGGAUUGGAUCGACUGUUCGACGUUUGAUACGUGUCUAGUCCCUAACGGGAUCUCGUCGGCACGUGCGGC
rnacentral:lncRNA from 1 species